rnacentral:rRNA from 1 species
AGUCGUAACAAGGUCUCCGUUGGUGAUUCAGCGGAGGGAUCAUUACCGAGUUUACAACUCCCAAACCCAAUGUGAACGUUACCAAACUGUUGCCUCGGCGGGAUCUCUGCCCCGGGUGCGUCGCAGCCCCGGACCAAGGCGCCCGCCGGAGGACCAACCAAAACUCUUUUGUAUACCCCCUCGCGGGUUUUUAUAUCUGAGCCAUCUCGGCGCCUCUCGUAGGCGUUUCGAAAAUGAAUCAAAACUUUCAACAACGGAUCUCUUGGUUCUGGCAUCGAUGAAGAACGCAGCGAAAUGCGAUAAGUAAUGUGAAUUGCAGAAUUCAGUGAAUCAUCGAAUCUUUGAACGCACAUUGCGCCCGCCAGUAUUCUGGCGGGCAUGCCUGUCCGAGCGUCAUUUCAACCCUCGAACCCCUCCGGGGGGUCGGCGUUGGGGAUCGGCCCUUUACGGGGCCGGCCCCGAAAUACAGUGGCGGUCUCGCCGCAGCCUCUCCUGCGCAGUAGUUUGCACACUCGCAUCGGGAGCGCGGCGCGUCCAUUGCCGUAAAACACCCAACUUUCUGAAAUGUUGACCUCGGAUCAGGUAGGAAUACCCGCUGAACUUAAGCAUAU